rnacentral:rRNA from 1 species
AGGAUUCCCCUAGUAACGGCGAGUGAACCGGGAAGAGCUCAAAUUUGAAAUCUGGCGUGCUCAGUGCGUCCGAGUUGUAAUCUAUAGAGGCGUUUUCCGUGCCGGACUGUGUCUAAGUCCCUUGGAACAGGGUAUCAAAGAGGGUGAUAAUCCCGUACUUGACACGGCGACCGGUGCUCUGUGAUACGUCUUCUACGAGUCGAGUUGUUUGGGAAUGCAGCUCAAAAUGGGUGGUGAGUUCCAUCUAAAGCUAAAUAUUGGCGAGAGACCGAUAGCGAACAAGUACCGUGAGGGAAAGAUGAAAAGCACUUUGGAAAGAGAGUUAAACAGUACGUGAAAUUGUUGAAAGGGAAACGAAUGAAGUCAGUCGUGACUGAUAGGCUCAGCCGGUUCUGCCGGUGUAUUCCCCUCAGUCGGGUCAACAUCAGUUUUGUUCGGUGGAUAAGGGCAGCUGGAAGGUGGCACCUCCGGGUGUGUUAUAGCCAGCUGUCGCAUACAUCGAAUGAGACUGAGGAAUGCAGCUCGCCUUUAUGGCCGGGGUUCGCCCACGUCCGAGCUUAAGAUGUUGACAUAAUGGCUUUUAAACGACCCGUCUUGA